rnacentral:rRNA from 1 species
UACAGAGGGUGCAAGCGUUGUUCGGAAUUACUGGGCGUAAAGCGCACGUAGGCGGACUAUUAAGUCAGGGGUGAAAUCCCGGGGCUCAACCCCGGAACUGCCUUUGAUACUGGUAGUCUCGAGUCCGGAAGAGGUGAGUGGAAUUCCGAGUGUAGAGGUGAAAUUCGUAGAUAUUCGGAGGAACACCAGUGGCGAAGGCGGCUCACUGGCCCGAUACUGACGCUGAGGCACGAAAGCGUGGGGAGCAAACAGG